GCGCUGCGCAGACCGCGUCGGGCAUGCGCUGCAGAGCACGCGCACCAGAGGAGGGGGCUGACUUGAGCAGAAAGCGCGGAGAGACAAGUCGAAAAGAAAAGACAGAAGAGCGCUGAUGAGGAAAAGCAGAAAGAAAGACUUUAACUGAGCUUGAAAUGAAACAAGAGCUAGCGAAUCUCUGCUGGACAGCAGCGUGUCACUGUAGGAGCUGCUCAGUGCUGCUAGGAUGACCUGCAUGUGGUGGGAGGCAAGAGGAAAAAAAAGAAAAAAGUGGAGGUGAGGGUUGAAUAAAAGGAUUGAAAAAUGCACAAUGUAUCGCCAACUGCUGCACCUGUAAGACAAAAACAAAAACAAACAUGCAUCUCCUAGAGGCCAACCAUCCUGGUACAAGUCAAGACCUGAGUCCCAGGUGCCCAAGAACCACCUGGUAUCCAGAAAGUGGGGAGAAGCGUCCAGCCAGGAGUGCUGACUGUGUCCAGGGCCAAGCCACAGCAAGCCCCACAAACACAAAUUAUUCGCUCACUCACUCUCACCCACCCAUUAGUGACACACAGAAAACAUAAAGACACAGUGGGAGCUGGUAUGCAAUAGCAAUGACAGCUUAGCCACCAUUUUUCCAGUCACUUUAUACUUCUGCUGCCUCAACCAUAACACAGGUCUACAAGAUCAGUCUGUUCAGUUUUUUUUCUGUCCUCAGUGGAGAUCUUGCUGGCCCAGCAGAACACACCAUAAAAGAUGACUGAUGUCACUCCAAAGUCAUAGAAGGUCUUCAGGAACUCCAAAAUAAUUGAA